UACGUAGGGUGCAAGCGUUGUCCGGAUUUAUUGGGCGUAAAGAGCUCGUAGGCGGUCUGUCGCGUCGGAUGUGAAAACCCAGGGCUCAACCCUGGGCCUGCAUUCGAUACGGGCAGACUAGAGUGUGGCAGGGGAGACUGGAAUUCCUGGUGUAGCGGUGAAAUGCGCAGAUAUCAGGAGGAACACCGGUGGCGAAGGCGGGUCUCUGGGCUGUAACUGACGCUGAGGAGCGAAAGCAUGGGGAGCGAACAGG
rnacentral:rRNA from 1 species